AAAAAUAAUUUAACCCUGCUUCGUAUAUUCCCGGAAAUGCGGUCCGGGAGUUUCUACCAGGCAACCGUAAAUUGCCCGGCUACGAAGGUUAUUCUUCGUCGU
rnacentral:ncRNA from 2 species